GAGAAAUUAAUGGCAGUAUUCUCUCCCUUCCAUCUCCUUCUCUUUCUCAAGGACGGGGGAAAUGUCGUUUGAGUAUACACUUUUGCUCCAUGAAUGUCAGUGUGCAAUGGAUUCAAUGGAUGAGGAGGACAUUGAUUCUGAAUCAUCAAAUCGCUGUUUGUCUCGGAGAACUAAAAUAGCAACUCCAAAGGUUAACGUUCUGGGGAGAGAAGUGCUGAAGGGGUUAGGCUAGCAAAAGGGGGGACGGACCCAGUUCUGAUUAUAAUAACAGAGUCGUAGGUUAGCAAUACAGAAAAUUAUGCCCAUUCUUUCUCAUGCCACUUGUAUUCAGCUUGAUUGGACAUGAUGUCUUGCUGGUACUGACACUGUCUGUCCAGGAUACUAAUAUUUGUAUCCCAGAGGGCAAAAUCUUCAAUGGAUCUUUUCCGAGUGCUUCUCUCACAUUUUGAUAAUGGGUAAACCAGUUAAAAGUUUGUCCCCCCCCAAAAAAAAAUAGGGAGGAAAGGUGAGUGUUCAUCCACAUUGAUAGGUAUGUGCCAUUGAUAGAAGGUUCGUGCCAAUGCCAUCCUAACUUCAUUCUUCCUCUCUGCCCAGAGUGCUGCAAAAGACUAAGAGGAUGUUCGUUUAAUUGGAAAGCCUACCACCGAGAUCUAAGGCAGCUGAGGCAAAGGAAGCACUCUUUCUUUGCUCAAUGGCACUGGCUGAAGGAUGUAUAUAAGGUGGCCUUAUUAAAGUGACAAGGCAAUUUAA